rnacentral:rRNA from 1 species
UGAGGAACAUGACCUUCGGCGGGGGAUAGCCGGCCCAACGGCCGGGUAAUACCGCGUACGACCACAUGGGGACAUCCCUGAGUGGUGAAAGCAGCAAUGCGCCGAUGGAGUGCCUCGCGGCCUAUCAGCUAGUUGGUGAGGUAACGUCUCACCAAGGCGACGACGGGUAGCCGGUCUGAGAGGAUGGCCAGCCACAUUGGGACUGAGACACGGCCCAGACUCCGUAGGAGG